rnacentral:rRNA from 1 species
UACGAGAGGUGCAAGCGUUGUUCGGAGUAAUUGGGCGUAAAGCGCACGUAGGCGGGUCAGUAAGUCUGAUGUGAAAGCCCUGGGCUUAACCUGGGAAUGGCAUCUGAAACUGCUGAUCUUGAAUAUCUCAGAGGUUGGUGAAAUUCCUGGUGUAGGAGUGAAAUCCGUAGAUAUCAGGAGGAACAUCGGAGGCGAAGGCGGCCAACUGGGAGAAUAUUGACGCUGAGGUGCGAAAGCGUGGGGAGCAAACAGG